GGGGUAAAAUUAAUUAAAUUAAUAAUAAUAAAAUAAAUUUUAAAAUUAAAAAUAAAUAAUGGGGGUUAAAGUAUUUUUAAUGGAAAAAAUUUUAAAUUUUAUAGUUAAUUAAGUAUUGUAGAAGAAAUUUGAAAUAUAUGAAAAUAAAUUGAUUAGAAAGAAAAUUUAAUUUAUUGUAUCUUGUGUAUCAGAGUUUAUUAAAUAAAUUUUUUAGAAAAAAAAGUCUCGAAUUUAAAAGAGCUAAUUAAUUAAUAAAGUUAAUGUAACAUAAUUAUUUUAAAUAAUUAAUUAGAAAUGAAAUGUUAAUCGUUUUUAAAUAUAUCUAGUUAUUUUAGAAAAAAAUUAAAUUUUAAAUUUAAAUAAUUUUAAAAUUUCAUAAUAAAAAUUUUUAUAAUUUAAAUUUAAUAUAUUAAGGGAUAAGCUUUAAAUUAAAUAUUUAUAAUAAAAUUAAUUUAAAAUAUUAAAAUUUUUAAAAUUUAUAUUGUUUAAAAAUUAUAAUUUAUUAUAAAAAAUUUUAAUAAAAAUAAAAUUUAAAUAAAAAAUUUAAAUUUAUAUAAAAUAAUAAUUUUUAAUUAAAUAAAAUUAAUAAUAAUGAUAAAAUUAGUAUAAAAAUAAAAUUAAAAAAAUAAAUAAAAAUUUAAAAUUAAUAAAAAGGAAUUCGGCAAAAGGAAUAUUCACUUGUUUAUCAAAAACAUGUCUUUUUGUUAAUAAUUUAAAGUCUAAUCUGCCCACUGAUAAUUAUUAAAGGGCUGCAGUAUAAUGACUGUACAAAGGUAGCAUAAUCAAUAGUUUUUUAAUUGGAAACUUGAAUGAAAGAUUUGAUGAAAUAUAAACUGUCUCUUGAUUAUUUUUAAAAGUUUAUUUUUUAGUAAAAAAGCUAAAAUAAUUUUAAAAGACGAGAAGACCCUAUAGAGUUUUAUAUUUAAUUUUAUUUUAAGAUUAUAUAAAAAUUUAUAUUAAAAUAAAAUUAAAUAUUUUAUUGGGGUGAUAGAAAAAUUAAAUUAACUUUUUUUAAAAAUUAAACAUAAAUAAAUGAUUAAAUGAUCCAUAAGUAAUGAUUAUAAGAAAAAAUUACCUUAGGGAUAACAGCGUAAUAUUUUUUUUUAGUACAAAUAAAAAAAAAAGUUUGCGACCUCGAUGUUGGAUUAAGAUAAAAUUUAAAUGCAAAAGUUUAAAAUUUUGAUCUGUUCGAUCAUUAAAAUCUUACAUGAUCUGAGUUCAAACCGGUGUAAGCCAGGUUGGUUUCUAUCUUUAGAUAAAAAUAAUAUUUUAGUACGAAAGGAUCAAGUAUUAAAAAUAAUUUUAAUAUAAAAAGAAUAUCAAUAAUUAUUUAUA
rnacentral:rRNA from 1 species